rnacentral:rRNA from 1 species
UACGUAGGGUGCAAGCGUUGUCCGGAAUUAUUGGGCGUAAAGGGCUCGUAGGCGGUUUGUCGCGUCGGGAGUGAAAACUCAGGGCUUAACCCUGAGCCUGCUUCCGAUACGGGCAGACUAGAGGUAUGCAGGGGAGAAUGGAAUUCCUGGGUGUAGCGGUGAAAUGCGCAGAUAUCAGGAGGAACACCGAUGGCGAAGGCAGGUCUCUGGGCCGAUACUGACGCUGAGGAGCGAAAGCGUGGGGAGCGAACAGG